GGGAAACACACACCUGCACACAGGUUCUCAGGCCUCAUCUGUUCCAGAGACGAGCACACAGAGUGUCGCCGCUGAGGGUUCUACGCCUCCUCUAGGUGCAGAUUCAAAAGCUUCAAACAAUGAUGGCUUUCAUCAAGAAGCUGGGUCAAAAUUUCAAUGCACUGGUUCUUCUUAUAAAGAUGGAAAGAUAACUAACAGUGAGAGUGCGACAAAGAAUAUUGGUGUAUCUACACCUGUUUUUGAUCUUGAUGCCCUUCCUGGGAAGCCAGCUAUUGCCGACCAUUGCUGCAGCUCUUUUGAUGGAAAGAAGAAGGAAAAACACAAUGAUGCAUUUCUUGAUGCCCUCCAAGAAAUGCAUAUAAGUAAUCUUCCGGCAUCGUUGAUCGAUAACUCACAUCAUUCAUCCGCCACUUAUAUGGAUGGUAGGUUUAUUAACGAGUGCCCUUUUAGUGGAGUACCUGUGGCUCCUCGAUCGUCUAUGCUUGGAACUGUAGGUAUAGAUCCAGUAAGUAGCAGUAGUGGUUACACUGAAUCUGUGGGAAGUAUGUUCCAUAAAG
rnacentral:misc_RNA from 1 species